rnacentral:lncRNA from 1 species
GCAUGGUGAAGUGGUGGGGGGUGGGCACACAGGCCACUGCUGUGUCCUGAGCCAGUGAAAGUGGAGCCAGCUGCAAUUCAGAAUCUGCAUUAACUUGGGUCCCAGCCCCAUGCAGUACCUGGUUUGCUGGCCAGCUGGUUUUCAGUACCACAGCCAGCUUCCUUAGGUGGUCAGAGGGUUUGUGCCUUAGUGCCCCACAACAGCUGCUCCUGGAGAACUUCAGUGUCUUCAUGUGACACCUCAUUCCUGUUGUUCAGGCACUGGUGAAGGCAGAUGUCUACAGUCCCACCUGCCUGUGCAGAGCACUGCUGCUGUGGUGCUGGCUGAAGCUGCUGUCCCUCACAUGCUGUGACUGCCACUUCCAACAUGACAGUGUGGGGGAUCAGGGAAACUCAGCACCUGAAAAGCCCUGGAGCAGCUCUUAUGCAGGAGAAGAGAUGCUGCCAUGCUGAUGAGCUAUGACUUGUGGGGAAACAAGCCCAAGAGAGAAGUCUUCAAAUCACCCUGAGUCUGAAUCUGUUGUUAAGAAAAACAAAAGCAGCCUCAGGUAUUU